UACGGGGGGGGCAAGCGUUGUUCGGAAUUACUGGGCGUAAAGGGCGCGUAGGCGGCCUUCUAAGUCGGACGUGAAAUCCCUCGGCUCAACCGAGGAACUGCGUCUGAUACUGGAAGGCUUGAAUCUGGGAGAGGGAUGUGGAAUUCCAGGUGUAGCGGUGAAAUGCGUAGAUAUCUGGAGGAACACCGGUGGCGAAGGCGGCAUCCUGGACCAAUUCUGACGCUGAGUGAGCGAAAGCCAGGGGAGCAAACGGG
rnacentral:rRNA from 1 species